rnacentral:rRNA from 1 species
GACGAACGCUGGCGGCGUGCCUAAUACAUGCAAGUAGAACGCUGAAGCGAGGAGCUUGCUCUUCUUGGAUGAGUUGCGAACGGGUGAGUAACGCGUAGGUAACCUGCCUUGUAGCGGGGGAUAACUAUUGGAAACGAUAGCUAAUACCGCAUAACAAUGGAUGACACAUGUCAUUUAUUUGAAAGGGGCAAUUGUUCCACUACAAGAUGGACCUGCGUUGUAUUAGCUAGUAGGUGAGGUAAUGGCUCACCUAGGCGACGAUACAUAGCCGACCUGAGAGGGUGAUCGGCCACACUGGGACUGAGACACGGCCCAGACUCCUACGGGAGGCAGCAGUAGGGAAUCUUCGGCAAUGGGGGCAACCCUGACCGAGCAACGCCGCGUGAGUGAAGAAGGUUGUCGGAUCGUAAAGCUCUGUUGUAAGUCAAGAACGGGUGUGAGAGUGGAAAGUUCACACUGUGACGGUAGCUGACCAGAAAGGGACGGCUAACUACGUG